GAUAAACGCUGGCGGCGCACAUAAGACAUGCAAGUUGAACGGACUUAAUCGAAAUAUUUAUAUUUUGAAGCGGUUAGUGGCGGACUGGUGAGUAACGCGUAAGGAACCUGCCUAUUAGAGGGGAAUAACAGUGAGAAAUCAUUGCUAAUACCGCAUAUGCCAUAGAUAUCACAUGAUAACAGUGGGAAAGGAGCAAUCCGCUAAUAGAUGGCCUUGCGUCUGAUUAGAUAGUUGGUGGGGUAACGGCCUACCAAGUCGACGAUCAGUAGCCGGACUGAGAGGUUGAACGGCCACAUUGGGAAUGAGAUACGGCCCAGACUCCUACGGGAGGCAGCAGUCGGGAAUAUUGCGCAAUGGAGGAAACUCUGACGCAGUGACGCCGCGUAGGAAGAAGGUUUUCGGAUUGUAAACUAUUGUCGUUAGGGAAGAGAAAGGACAGUACCUAAGGAGGAAGCUCCGGCUAACUACGUG
rnacentral:rRNA from 1 species